UGAGACACGGCCCAGACUCCUACGGGAGGCAGCAGUGGGGAAUAUUGCACAAUGGGCGCAAGCCUGAUGCAGCAACGCCGCGUGCGGGAUGACGGCCUUCGGGUUGUAAACCGCUUUUAGUAAGGAAGAAGGGAAGCUUGCUUCUUGACGGUACUUGCAGAAAAAGGACCGGCUAACUACGUGCCAGCAGCCGCGGUAAUACGUAGGGUCCGAGCGUUGUCCGGAAUUAUUGGGCGUAAAGAGCUCGUAGGCGGUUUGUCGCGUCUGCUGUGAAAUCCCGAGGCUCAACCUCGGGUCUGCAGUGGGUACGGGCAGACUGGAGUGCGGUAGGGGAGAAUGGAAUUCCUGGUGUAGCGGUGGAAUGCGCAGAUAUCAGGAGGAACACCGAUGGCGAAGGCAGUUCUCUGGGCCGUAACUGACGCUGAGGAGCGAAAGCGUGGGGAGCGAACAGGAUUAGAUACCCUGGUAGUCCACGCCGUAAACGUUGGGCGCUAGAUGUGGGGACCUUUCCACGGUUUCCGUGUCGUAGCUAACGCAUUAAGCGCCCCGCCUGGGGAGUACGGCCGCAAGGCUAAAACUCAAAGGAAUUGACGGGGGCCCGCACAAGCGGCGGAGCAUGCGGAUUAAUUCGAUGCAACGCGAAGAACCUUACCAAGGCUUGACAUAACCGAGAACGCCGCAGAAAUGUGGAACUCUUUGGACACUCGGUUACAGGUGGUGCAUGGUUGUCGUCAGCUCGUGUCGUGAGAUGUUGGGUUAAGUCCCGCAACGAGCGCAACCCUCGUUCCAUGUUGCCAGCAGGCCCUUCGGGGUGCUGGGGACUC
rnacentral:rRNA from 1 species